GCCCCAAUAGCUCAGCCGGGAGAGCAACCGCCUUGUAAGCGGUAGGUCGUGGGUUCGAUUCCUACUUGGGGCACCA
rnacentral:tRNA from 1 species